rnacentral:rRNA from 1 species
UACGUAGGGUGCAAGCGUUAAUCGGAAUUACUGGGCGUAAAGCGUGCGCAGGCGGUGAUGUAAGACAGAUGUGAAAUCCCCGGGCUUAACCUGGGAACUGCAUUUGGGACUGCAAGGCUUGAGUACGGCAGAGGGGGGUAGAAUUCCUGGUGUAGCAGUGAAAUGCGUAGAUAUCAGGAGGAAUACCGAUGGCGAAGGCAGCCCCCUGGGUCGAUACUGACGCUCAUGCACGAAAGCGUGGGGAGCAAACAGG